UGGGGAAUUUUCCGCAAUGGGCGAAAGCCUGACGGAGCAAUACCGCGUGAGGGAGGAAUGCCUUUGGGUUGUAAACCUCUUUUCUCAGGGAAGAAGAUCUGACGGUACCUGAGUAAUAAGUAUCGGCUAACUCCGUGCCAGCAGCCGCGGUAAUACGGAGGAUGCAAGCGUUAUCCGGAAUCAUUGGGCGUAAAGCGUCCGCAGGUGGUUUCCAAAGUCUGCUGUUAAAGACUGGAGCUCAACUCCGGAACGGCGGUGGAAACUUGGAAACUAGAGUUCGGUAGGGGUAGCAGGAAUUCCCAGUGUAGCGGUGAAGUGCGUAGAUAUUGGGAAGAACAUCGGUGGCAAGGCGUGCUACUGGACCGUAACUGACACUCAGGGACGAAAGCUAGGGGAGCGAAAGGGAUUAGAUACCCCUGUAGUCCUAGCUGUAAACGAUGGAAACUAGGUGUGGCUUGA
rnacentral:rRNA from 1 species